rnacentral:rRNA from 1 species
GACGAACGCUGGCGGCGUGCUUAACACAUGCAAGUCGAACGGAAAGGCCCUGCUUGCAGGGUACUCGAGUGGCGAACGGGUGAGUAACACGUGGGUGAUCUGCCCUGCACUUCGGGAUAAGCCUGGGAAACUGGGUCUAAUACCGGAUAGGAGCCAUUUUUAGUGUGAUGGUUGGAAAGUUUUUUCGGUGUAGGAUGAGCUCGCGGCCUAUCAGCUUGUUGGUGGGGUAAUGGCCUACCAAGGCGGCGACGGGUAGCCGGCCUGAGAGGGUGGACGGCCACAUUGGGACUGAGAGACGGCCCAGACUCCUACGGGAGGCAGCAGUGGGGAAUAUUGCACAAUGGGCGCAAGCCGGAUGCAGCGACGCCGCGUGGGGGAUGACGGCCUUCGGGUUGUAAACUCGUUUCGCUAGGGACGAAGCUUUUUGUGACGGUACCUAGAUAAGAAGCACCGGCUAACUACGUG